rnacentral:antisense_RNA from 1 species
CUUGAUGGAGCCCAGCCACAGGGGCACGUCGGCCUCGCGGUCCUGGCCGUACGUGGCGAGCAGCGCCUGUGCCUC